UACGGGGGGGGCAAGCGUUGUUCGGAAUUACUGGGCGUAAAGGGCUCGUAGGCGGCCAACUAAGUCAGACGUGAAAUCCCUCGGCUUAACCGGGGAACUGCGUCUGAUACUGGAUGGCUUGAGUUUGGGAGAGGGAUGCGGAAUUCCAGGUGUAGCGGUGAAAUUCGUAGAUAUUCGCAAGAACACCAGUGGCGAAGGCGGCUCACUGGCCCGGUACUGACGCUGAGGUGCGAAAGCGUGGGGAGCAAACAGG
rnacentral:rRNA from 1 species